AUAUUUAGUUAGUUAAGAUAGUUUUAAAAAUUGUCUAUAAAGCCUUCAAAAAUUAAAUAAAAAUCAGAAUGAAAUAUUUCUCAACCUAAAUGAAGGUCUUUUCUGUCCCCCACCAGCGGUAAAACAAUUACAAUCUUCAUUGAGUUUAUACAUUUGGUCCUUCGAGCCGGAUAAAGAGCUCAGCCAACAUAAGCCCUGUCAUUAAAAAAAUGCAAGCAAUAUAAAAAUAAAAAGUCCUGUAUGAGAAACAAACAGGCAAUAUAAUUUGGUCUUACAAAAAUUAAAAAAUGCUUUAUGAUAUACAUACAGGCAACAAAAAAAAGACCUGUAUUUAUAAAACAGGCAAAAACAAAAGUCCUGUAAUUCACGCAGACAUAGAAAGAAGCCCUGUCAAAAAUAUAAAAAAAGUCCUGUUUGAGAAACAAACAGGCAAUAUUAAAGUAAGUCGGAAUAGCAAAGACUAUCCGCAAUUAUGAAAGUACAUAUAUAUUUAUAGUAUAUAUGUAAGCACUUUUCGUAAAAGUAAAACCGAAAAAGUGUUAAAAGCGACCUUGUAGCUUAAUAAUAACAAGUACAGUGUUAAAUAAAAAUUCAUGUUUGAGAAGCAAACAGGCAAUAUUUGGAAACUAGAGGAUAUAUAUAUUUAUGAAGAUAUACAAGAUGACCAACUAUAGAAAAAAAAGACAUCAAGUGGCAUUUUAUUCCCCCGGAGACUCCGCACUUUGGAGGAAUUAGGGAGGCUUGUUUUGUUGUCAUAGACGCAACAUCGGAUCCUGAUCCUGAAGAGCCAAAUGAAAAUGUAGAAAUUAAAGUUUCCGACGAUGAAGGCAUAACAAAUGAAGAUGACUCAAAUGAUUUUAAGUUUGGUACUACAACCAAAAAGAGACGUUCUAAAGGUAGACGAGAUAGAUUCAAAACAACGGCCGCAGCACAUGGAACCCAAAGGUCAAGGAGGAAAAACAUAUGAGAUGUUCGGCAAGCAGUGAAGAGUUGUAUGAUUUAUACAAAGGACUGCGCAGCAAGCAAGACGUGCGCGGAACGUAUACGCAUGUAUGUAUGAAGCAAAAAUCAAUGAUUUCAUAAGCGCUUUAAUCAGGAGUGUUGUGGAAUCCAAGACAGAUUAACGUUGUUGUCAGAAUUGCAAACCAAUUCUUGUUUUCAAUGAUUAGAUUUUCGUCUUUUCGAACAUGCUAAUGAGACAAAACUUGCAAUGAAUAAAUUUGGAAGCGUUGGAUAAAUUUUAAAUACUAAAUAUAUUCUAUUAAAGUUUAAAAUUAAUCCGCUUUAAUUUUAUUGGAAUAAAAAAUUGUGAAAUUCGGCUUGCAUUUAUUUGUAUGCUUGCAUCAAUGCUUACUUUACAGAUUUAUAUCUCAUUAUCCACUGAAUAAAAACGCAUUCGAAUGUUAAAUUACGUUUAUUACGUUUUGUAAAUCCCCUUAAAAUAUCUGUAUUUAUUCUAUAAACUCAAUAAUUAUGACAUUGUAUGUUAUAUUCUUACGUUUUCGCCCAAAGAAAUAAAGAUAAAUUAAACCGUAGCAAUAAUACAUUAAUUUUUUAACAAUCUGUCAGCGACUAUCUUCUUGCUUUGUUUCUGAUAACAAACCAUUGUAUAAAACUACUUAUACAAUGUAACAAACCCGAUAAAAUAAAAUUUCUGUGACACCCAAAAUCGAUACAAUUUUGAUUUCGAAUGUCAAACCAAUAAUAGUGAAUUCAUGACCCCUACAACAUUUUUUAUCACUUUUAAUUCUGAUUUCGACAACUAUCAGAUUCUACAACACCCCUGAUUAUAGAGUGAAAAUGAAGGUCCAUUCAGAUACAACUUUCCUCGCUUUACGUGAUAGUUCAUACUAGUGAUGAUUUUUUCGUAAUGAUUGAAAAAUCGCAUAUCGCAACUACGAUCAUUUUUUGCAAAUAGGUGUUCACUUUUAUGAGUUACGAUUGAGAUAGCAGUUCCAUCCUCUGAAUUUGUGAAAUUGUGAAUUUUUAACAAUACAGUUUAAUAGGGUUACUUGAGAUCGCAAUAACAGAACAGCAUAAUAACAGAAACGUGGCAGAUUUCUUCAAGAUAUUGCAAAUGCAAUAAUGGAUUAAAAAUUCAAUUUAUAUUGUUUUAUCCCGAUUUGGGAUCUUCUGUAUCGAAACUUUUAAUAUUCGAGUAUAUUAGACACAAAUAAUUCGAAAGUUACUAGCACAUUCAAUAUUGAAGUUCAGAGUCAUUUGGAAAGUGAAGUCAUUGGCUGAACAGAAGAUUCGUUGCAAUGGUGGAAAACAAAUAGUUCAAAGUACCUGCACCAAUUUCGCGUGAAAAAUUAAGACGCUUAGAAUCGUCUGUGCCUCCUGAAAUGUUAAUUUCUAUCACUGAAAUCACAGAUAUCGAAAAAUUGCAACAUCGCUCAUCACUAGUUCAUACUGAAACAACAAAGCGCACAAAACAAAGGAUAUGCCACAAUGAAGGCUUUUCUUUCAGUGUUUCUCCCUAAUAAAAAUGGCGACGAUUGCUGGGGAAAGCGUGAAAAAAUUAGAACUGCCCAACAUUUUGCUUGGCUUCGCGUAGAAAAUUUUUAAGGGAAGUACUCAUACAAAAGCGUAUAUAACUUUUAUGUUUAUUGGUCAUUAAAUUUGUUCUUUGUAGAACAUUUAAAUAAUAUAUGGUCAAAAAUGCUGUGAAAUCACAAGAAACUUGACAGUGACAUUGUACAAUUGGAUUGAAGUGGAAUUUUGGGAUAGUUGGGAAGGCACGAGCGAUUUUUCUUGUACCGCAAUACUGAACGCAAAUUAACAACUAGAAAAAUUUAAAUAAAAAUACGUUAAUUUUCAUAGUAAUUUCAACAAAUUUUAACAACAGCGAUUUUUAAGAAACUUGGUUUCAAAUUUGACAAACAAAAUAUAUUCAAUCCAUAAAUGAUAAAAAGAGAAAAUUCGAAAAUUUCGCAUUAACUUUUUAAUCUUUCGCAAUUUUGUAUUCCUUUAGGCCAUCGUUUGUAACCCAGUGACCUAUGUAUUAAUUGCCGUGUAUGAACUCACUCCUAAUGUGCAGGACUUGCCAGAACUGAAUUCACCGAGCUAACAAAUAAAGUCAAAUCACAACGUUUUCUUUGAAAAUGUGCUUCCUGCAAUUUGAAAGUUAGUGUCGUCACUCAGGAUGAUCUUGACCUUUUAAAUGACGAGGAUGAUAGCAUUACCAUAGAUAAGCUUAAUCGUCUGCUCGAUGAGCAAUAUUUGCAGCUCACCACAUCCUUUGAAAAUAAAUUAAACAGUUUUAAGUCGGUUAUAUGUUAGAAAAAAACGUCACAGAUAUCGGGAAGGAUGUUACAACCUUAACUCAUCAGAACAAACGCAUAGUGUUUCAGCACCAACAGAAGAAAUCAUCGCGGGGUUCUCAGAACGUAUAAGGCGUGAAUCAAAUGUGGCUAUGCUCUACAUAAAAGGACUAAAAAAAAAGCAGACGGUAAAGACUGCCUCGAUGAAGACAGAACCGUCAUCUAGAUUGUACUGCCUUCUGACUUAAAUUCUAAUAUACAUAAUUUUAAACUUCGUCGCCUAGGUUGCCCUUCUGCCGACCGCUACUAGUAGAGAAUCCAUCUCCUUCUGUAGCUCGUGCAAUAUUAAAGUAUAAACAGCCAUAACCUGCAGAUUAAUCUGCCAAAGUGAUAUUUAAAUCGAACCUUACUCCUGUUCAGCUCCAACGACAUAAAUAACCUCCGGGCUGAGCUUGAUACACUAGUAAAAAAUGGCGACACCUAAAAAACUAUUAGAUAAGUUAACGGUAUUCGAAAACUAGUUGACAAAAAUUUUCGCCUACUUAAUGAAAAGGGAAACUCAAUCGAUCAGACGUGAGAGGACUACGCACCAAGCUCGACAGUUUUCUAACAGCGACAGCAACAGCAUUAGCAGCAUUGAUGCCUUGGGCAUCACGGAAUCAUGGUUCCCCCCACCCAUCCGCGAUAAGGAAGUAAUAGACGACUCAUUUUUAUUUCUUUAGCACGAAUAGAAGUUAUUCCAUAUGUAAAAUUAAAAAUAUAUAAAUUAAAUAUAUUAUAUAUUAAAUUAAAUCAAUUAAAAAAUACA